AGCGAACGCUGGCGGCAGGCCUAACACAUGCCAGUCGAACGAACUCUUCGGAGUUAGUGGCGGACGGGUGAGUAACACGUGGGAACGUGCCUUUUGGUUCGGAAUAACUCAGGGAAACUUGUGCUAAUACCGAAUGUGCCCUUCGGGGGAAAGAUUUAUCGCCAUUAGAGCGGCCCGCGUCUGAUUAGCUAGUUGGUGAGGUAACGGCUCACCAAGGCGACGAUCAGUAGCUGGUCUGAGAGGAUGACCAGCCACACUGGGACUGGGACCCGGCCCGAACCCCUCGGGAGGGGAGAAGGGGGGAAUCUGGGGCAAUGGGCGAAAGCCGAAGGCAGCCAGGCCGGGGAAAUGAUGAAGUAUUUAGGAUUGUAAAUUUUUUUCACCGGGGAGGAAAAGACGGGACCCAGGGAGAAAAGCCCCGCCAACUUUGUG
rnacentral:rRNA from 1 species